rnacentral:rRNA from 1 species
GAUGAACGCUGGCGGCGUGCCUAAUACAUGCAAGUCGAGCGAACAGACGAGGAGCUUGCUCCUCUGACGUUAGCGGCGGACGGGUGAGUAACACGUGGAUAACCUACCUAUAAGACUGGGAUAACUUCGGGAAACCGGAGCUAAUACCGGAUAAUAUAUUGAACCGCAUGGUUCAAUAGUGAAAGACGGUUUUGCUGUCACUUAUAGAUGGAUCCGCGCCGCAUUAGCUAGUUGGUAAGGUAACGGCUUACCAAGGCAACGAUGCGUAGCCGACCUGAGAGGGGGAUCGGCCAACCUGGACCUGAGACACGGUCCAGACCCCUACGGGAGGCAGCAGUAGGAAUCUUCCGCAAUGGGCGAAAGCCUGACGGAGCAACGCCGCGUGAGUGAUGAAGGUCUUCGGAUCGUAAAACUCUGUUAUUAGGGAAGAACAAAUGUGUAAGUAACUAUGCACGUCUUGACGGUACCUAAUCAGAAAGCCACGGCUAACUACGUG